UGACAUCUCAUGGCUAUGACAUCUGUCCCUCCCUCCAUUGAUCACUGGGGCUGAUUAGGCUCAUCUGGUUGACUAGGUUUGGUUGGAGUCCCCUUCCCUGGACAUCCCUCAGAAAGAAGCAAACUGCAUGAUCAGAAAAACCUCAAGUAGAUAAGGAACAUUCUUUGUUUGAAGAUAUAUGAGUAGCUAUGCUUCCCUGCUAGAAAAUUCAAGUAAGAUCUCAAUAUAGUAUCAUUUCUCACUAGAAUAUAUAAUCUUUAUAAAACAAAAAAAAAAAAAGUCUAAAUGCAGUAUUU
ensembl:misc_RNA 7SK 7SK RNA